rnacentral:pre_miRNA from 21 species
AUGUAAUCACAGAACCGGUUUUCAUUUUCGAUCUGACUUAUUUUUUUCACAAACAAGUGAGAUCACUUUGAAAGCUGAUUUUGUACAAUUAAUUCAA